AUUGUUAAUCGCAAUAAUUUUUUAGACAAUUGUUCAGCAAAAUUUGUUAUUGUGACAGGCCUAUCUGCUUGUCUCCCAGAGAGGUAGACAUGGUAAAAACAGAGACUGAAAACUGUAAUCUGCCUUAACUCUAGUUUCUACAGUUCAUCUAUUGUAUUUAAUGCUCUUUUUGGUUAAUGUUUAACAGAAUUCCAGGUCUGAAGUUGGUAGGAGAACCAUUUGCCCCAGCUCUUCAUCUACAACUAGAAAAAAGUUCCGGCUCCAGAAGCUCUGACAUGCAGCUGCUCCGCUCCAUUGUAGAUUAUUGUUUGGAACGAAAGGUUGCUUUGACUCUUGCUCAUUAUCUGGAAAAAGAAGAGCGAUUCCUUACCCCUCCCAGCAUCAGGGUAGUGGUCACCGUCAAACAGAAGGAUGACGACAUUCAGAAGACUGUGUCCUGUAUCAGAGAAGCAGCCUCAGUUCUCCUCAAAUAGCAGCAAAACCUUAAUGGCUUUCACUUACUGGGAAGCAGAUCUGGGAGAACACUGAGAAACACUGAAAGCUCCAAAUCUCCACACUCAGUGUAACAGUAAGAUCUCUGUGAUUGUUACUUCAUGUCUUAAAACCAUGUCAUCACAAGAGAUUAAUAACAUUCGUCUAUUGUCCUGAAUAUCAACAUGGAACUUUUCUGGCCUUUUUGCUUUAAGAAAAUGAGGGGCCCCAGCAUUUAAAACAAAAUUGUUUCAGUCUGUCCAAUCCUUAUCACAAAUGGGUGAUGUACUUUUUUAUCUUAUAACCAGAAGGACACCUUGUGCUUUUUUUUAACCUGUCAGCAGGCGACUAGAACAUAAACAUGUGAUCUGACUGAGUUUGUAUGCCACUAAGAUUAUCUAGAAAUACAUGAUUGUUCCUUUGGAAUCACGUACUCUGAUCUUCACUUUUGAUACAUGUAUUUUGUGAGAGGUUACUGCAUCUGUGAUUUUUAUUAAAAAUAUAUAAUGUAAAAUGUA